rnacentral:lncRNA from 1 species
CACUGUGAACACACACACAACAAACCCCCCCCAGGCCAAAGAGGCCGACUCUCGCUGAGAAACCAGAGGCACAGCGUAGUGGGCGUGCUCACCAUUCAGAGAGCCCAAUCCGAUUGGCUGCCUGCGCUGCCGUCACUCGUGUCAGCCAAAUGGAGCCGAGCAGACGGCAGACACCUGACCCUCAGGAAAGCCGUCUCAGAGGAGAGGCCGCAGAGCACUGGAGCUCGUGCUGGCUACAGAUCGGGCGACGCCCCCAUCAUGGCGGCCUCGUUGGACAGCGGCCUGAGCGGCAGCGCCUACAGCCUAUUGGAUGAGGAAGGAGAGGCCAACGAGGUGGACAGCGCCAUCUUCCAGGUUCCCCGACUGUGAGUCGCCUUUAGUUGUACAUCCAGUCCUCACACUGCCCUCAGGUACAUUCUAGUACAAUAUGUCUAUGCUUUCAUCGCACGUGUUUCUGUAGUGGGAAAAUCUCCAACGGCACCGACGGGUUGAAAUCAUCUCUGGGACUCGACGGUGAAGGUUUGAUUGAUUUAUUUAAAUUUGACAUUAGAUUUGACUGUCUGUUGUUUGUUUAUUAUUUAUUGACUUAUUCACUGUUAAGUAAAGAAGGGCAGAAUGUGACUCCAUUAUGUCGGGUUCAUUCAUUUACUAUACCACAGACUUUGUUCUGGAUCAGAUCCAGAUUGUGAUUUCAUCACAAUUUAAUUUUUUAUUUUAUUUUUUUAAAUGGGCGUGCCCUUACAUUAAGACAUUCUGUAUCAUUAUUGAUUGGGUUAUACAUUAUCUUACAAGCCUUUAGAGCCUGUAUUAUGAACACGGAUUAUCAUAUCUCUCCGUUGGCGGGCUUCACCUAACCAAACAUUCUCCGUCACAGAGCAGCUGUACUAUGAAGCAGGAUAUAAACACGUUCACUUUAGACAGGUGAUUUCAGCCUGGCGACAUCUACGCUCUAGUGACAGAGGUGGAGAUGGCAUCGCCAGAUUCACCACAAACACGGAGAAACUGUGUAGAGCAAUUUACAUCACAAUUGACGAAUAAUUCUUUAAGAAUAUGAAGAAUUAAAAUCCAUAAUCCAGACCAAAAACAACACUGUUGAUGUAGCAUAAGCAGGAAUGAAUGAAUGAAUGCAGGAAUUGAUGUUAAUACUAAAAUUGGUGAGAUUAUUAAGGGUGCCUCGAUCCAAUAUUGAUAUCAGAUAUCGGUCCGACAUCAGCCAGAAAAGGAAUAUCGGAUUUAUUAUAAUAUACUUAUUCAAUUGUAGAAUACUGUAGAUAUUAUGUUGAAGGUUAUAAUGUACGUAAGCAAUUGAUUAAUAAUAAAUGGGUCAGUUUUACUGUUGCUGACUAUUAU